rnacentral:rRNA from 1 species
UGGGGAAUAUUGCACAAUGGGGGAAACCCUGAUGCAGCGACGCCGCGUGAGCGAUGAAGUAUUUCGGUAUGUAAAGCUCUAUCAGCAGGGAAGAAAAUGACGGUACCUGACUAAGAAGCCCCGGCUAACUACGUGCCAGCAGCCGCGGUAAUACGUAGGGGGCAAGCGUUAUCCGGAUUUACUGGGUGUAAAGGGAGCGUAGACGGCAAUGCAAGCCAGAUGUGAAAGCCCGGGGCUCAACCCCGGGACUGCAUUUGGAACUGUGUAGCUGGAGUGUCGGAGAGGCAGGCGGAAUUCCUAGUG